CGGCGCACGGGUGAGUAACACGUGAGUGACCUGCCUUUUAGACUGGAACAACUUACCGAAAGGUGAGCUAAUGCCGGAUGAGUUAUAUAAGUGCAUGUUUAUAUAGGAAAAGUUGGGGAGACCUGACGCUGAAAGAUGGACUCGCGUCCCAUUAGCUAGUUGGUAGGGUAAUGGCCUACCAAGGCGACGAUGGGUAGCCGGCCUGAGAGGGUGGCCGGCCACACUGGGACUGAGACACGGCCCAGACUCCUACGGGAGGCAGCAGUGGGGAAUUUUGCGCAAUGCUCGUAAGAGUGACGCAGCGACGCCGCGUGAAUGACGAAGGCCUUCGGGUCGUAAAGUUCUUUCGACAGGGAAGAAAAUGCCUAUAAGUAACUGUGUAUGUAUUGACGGUACCUGUAUAAGCAGCCCCGGCUAACUCCGUGCCAGCAGCCGCGGUAAUACGGAGGGGGCGAGCGUUGUUCGGAGUGACUGGGCGUAAAGAGCACGUAGGCAGUGUUGUAAGUCAUUAGUCAAAGACUAGAGCUCAACUUUAGUAAGGCUAGUGAUACUAUAAUACUAGAGUAUCAGAGAGGAUUGCAGAAUUCCUGGUGUAGCGGUGAAAUGCGUAGAUAUCAGGAGGAAUACCGUUAGCGAAGGCGGCAAUCUGGCUGGAAACUGACGCUGAGGUGCGAAAGCGUGGGUAGCAAACAGGAUUAGAUACCCUGGUAGUCCACGCUGUAAACGAUGGAUGCUAGGUGUUGGGCUUUUA
rnacentral:rRNA from 1 species